rnacentral:rRNA from 1 species
UACGUAGGGUGCGAGCGUUGUCCGGAAUUAUUGGGCGUAAAAGAGCUUGUAGGCGGUUUGUCGCGUCUGCUGUGAAAAUCCGGGGCUCAACCCCGGACUUGCAGUGGGUACGGGCAGACUAGAGUGUGGUAGGGGAGACUGGAAUUCCUGGUGUAGCGGUGGAAUGCGCAGAUAUCAGGAGGAACACCGAUGGCGAAGGCAGGUCUCUGGGCCAUUACUGACGCUGAGAAGCGAAAGCAUGGGGAGCGAACAGG